GUAGGUGAACCUGCGGAAGGAUCAUUAACACGUAUCCAACGUAUCCACCCCUGUGGUCCUGUGCGCGGCUCUAUAUGUGAGUGGUAGAAACCAACUUUGCAACCUGCGUGGUUGCAUAUCGCAAAUCUUUUGAUCAGAGGCAUUUUAGUCUGCGUGACUAUUAAGACCAAAGACCUAAUCAGCCUGCGCGGCUGGUGGUUCUCUGAUCAAAAGAUCUGGUAAUACUAGUUUUCUGCGAGAAAGCAGCUUCAUAUAGUAGACGUUUAACCAAACCAUUUACCUAAUUUGACUAAUUUAGAAAUAAGUACGGCGUGCCCUGCUUUAUUUCGAUAGGUUCUC
rnacentral:misc_RNA from 1 species